UACGUAGGGCGCGAGCGUUGUCCGGAAUUAUUGGGCGUAAAGAGCUCGUAGGCGGCCUGUUGCGUCCGCUGUGAAAUCCCAGGGCUCAACCCUGGGCGUGCAGUGGAUACGGGCAGGCUGGAGGCAGGCAGGGGAGAACGGAAUUCCUGGUGUAGCGGUGAAAUGCGUAGAUAUCAGGAGGAACACCGGCGGUGUAGACGGCUUACUGGACCAUGACUGACGCUGAGGCACGAAAGCGUGGGGAGCAAACAGG
rnacentral:rRNA from 1 species